UCUCCGUUGGUGGACCAGCGGAGGGAUCAUUACCGAGUUUACAACUCCCAAACCCAAUGUGAACCAUACCAAACUGUUGCCUCGGCGGGGUCACGCCCCGGGUGCGUCGCAGCCCCGGAACCAGGCGCCCGCCGGAGGGACCAACCAAACUCUUUCUGUAGUCCCCUCGCGGACGUUAUUUUUACAGCUCUGAGCAAAAAUUCAAAAUGAAUCAAAACUAUCAACAACGGAUCUCUUGGUUCUG
rnacentral:misc_RNA from 1 species